CUGUAGAGGUGGUCGUCCUGUACUUCAACUGACAUCUAUUGUUGCCCCAUUUAUUGUAGCCUUGUUAUACAGGAAAAUGAAGACUCAACUAAUCAGUUCAUUUACUGUCUCUGACCUAAACCCAUGCCUCAAAUCCUAGUCUCUUUAAAUGAACAGUCUUGAUUGACAGGUAACUCCAACCAUAGUCUCUUUAAAUGAACAGUCUUGACUGACAGGUAACUCCAACCAUAGUCUCUUUAAAUGAACAGUCUUGACUGACAGGUUACUCCGACCAUAGUCUCUUUAAAUGAACAGUCUUGAUUGACAGGUUACUCCGACCAUAGUCUCUUUAAAUGAACAGUCUUGAUUGACAGGUAACUCCAACCAUAGUCUCUUUAAAUGAACAGUCUUGACUGACAGGUUACUCCGACCAUAGUCUCUUUAAAUGAACAGUCUUGAUUGACAGGUUACUCCGACCAUAGUCUCUUUAAAUGAACAGUCUUGAUUGACAGGUUACUCCGACCAUAGUCUCUUUAAAUGAACAGUCUUGAUUGACAGGACAUUGGCCACCAGACUAUUUAACUGCACCCAGUCUCCUCUGAACAGUU
ensembl:lncRNA